UGUUCAUUCCCAUUUCAUGAAAACUAAAACUUUCCCCAUUCCCAUCUUUUUCUCUUAGAACUGAAAAGAGAGAUCAAGUUCUCCACAUCUACAGUGAGCGGUAAGCGAUAAAAUUAGGAAGUGUUGGAGGAUAUUCCGCAGCAUCUUCUCGCCCAUGUUCUGUUUGGAUAAAAUCAGCUAAGCACAAAUGCAAUAAGUUGCGUCUAUCCAAGCUUUGUUAGAGAAAAAUUAGGAUAUACAGGAACACACGUUUCUCUAUUACACAUUAUAAAAAGAUGAUAUGCACGUCUCUUGUUUGAUUGUAGAACAAAGAAAACGUCUUUUUGUUCUUGUAGCUUGUUGUGCUUUGUUUCAAUUGACAUUUUUCAAACCCUAACUUGGUGUUUCCAUCUCUUCAAGGUAUGAUUUAGUUAAUAUAACUAUGAAUUUCUUUGUGGAAUGCUUGAUUUUGUGCGAUUUUAGUUUUUUCUCAAGCUUAGGGUUUUUCCUUUUAUGGGUUUCAUCUGGAUUUUUUCAUUUUUUUGGGUGUUCUUGAACUUACAUGUUUUGUCUGCGAUUUCUCCACUUUACAUACUUUUUUCGAGUUAGAUGGUUGAUGGAGGAUCCACUUAUUGUCAUGUAGAACUUGAACCAAAGACUGAGUAGGAGCAUGAAAAAUAUCAAUAACAUAUGUACCUUAAAUUUCAAUUAUUAGUGGAUGUAAGUUGUUUAAGAAGGAAAGUUGAAGUUCGUAAAAGAGGCUGAGUAACUCGAACACUAAAUUAUUACCAACGAAAAUUAUAAAACAUUUCAUUUCUAGGCUUUGAGCAUAAGUUUUCAACUCUUGGCAAGAGGAAAAGCAAAAUGGAAAAAUUAUAGCCCGAACAUUUAGUUCUUUGUCUUUACGAAAUCACUACCAGUUCAAGCUUUAUAUCCCUGCUCCUCUAUUUUGUGUCGCUGCUUAGAAAUGAUAAUUGUACUAAAUUUUCAAUUGUUUUUGAGGAUUCCCUAUGACAACAAUUGUACCCUCUCUUUCUUUGUGUCUUAGCCGAUGGACUAUUUAAACUUGUAUUAUUAUCGUAACUUUAUAUCUUCUCUUAGUGACUACAAACUGAUAUGUGUUUCCUUAAAAAUAAAGUAUACAAAAUGUUGUUGGCCUGUUUUUGGAAAUGUAAAAAGUAUUGUUGCACCUGGAGUGUUGCCGACUUAGUUGUUGUUAGAAGCUCUUGUUAAGUGUUUAGCUAACAUGCUACUUUACAUGCUAAGUUGCUGCUUUAUUUGCUAACCUUCUACUUUACCUGCUAAGUUCCUACUUACCUGCUAACAUGCUACUUUAGUUACUACUUAUAGAUUUUUAGCUGCAACAGUAUAAUAAUAUGAUAUUUUCAGUAUCUUCUUUUCUUUAUUAUUAUAUAUAUAAUAGGAAAGUUCUUAAGAGUUGAGAAUUUAUUUAAUAGUGGCACGUGUUAAAAGAAGAAAUACAACCUUUCGUCGUUACUGCUUAACACUUCUCAGACAGAGAAAUAAGGGAGUGACUAACUCAGAUUAUCAGAGAACUGAUUUGUUGGAGAAAAAUUCGUAAAUAAGGACAGGAUUAUUGUGAUACAGUUAGCUCCAGGUAUCUUUUCAAGCUCUUAUAAUGGAAAUCAAUUCCCAUUCUUUCCAAAUUGCAGAAGUCAAGUUUUGUUUCUUACCUUAAAUUUCACCUUAUUUUUGUUGUUCUUUUGCUGUGUGUGAUAAUAAUUUCAUAUCUUCUUGGAGUUCCCUUCUUUUUGAAGUAUGUUCCUUUUGUUUUGAGUAUGAAUUGUUAGGUGGAAAUUCUUAUUUGCCCAAUUUUAUGUUUACUCUUUAUAAAUAAUCUAGUUUUUUCAGUAUGUUUUUGGUGUACAUGGUCUUAAAUUAUAUAUACUAGUCAUUGCAAGCAUAUGUUUGUGUGUACUUUCGGCAGUAGCAUCGAUUGACAAUAAAAGAAAUCACAACAAUGAUAAUUAUUGAAUAAACUUUUCAAUCUGAUAAUUUGUAGGACAAAAUUUUCAUUAUCCUUCACAAAUAUAACUCUACCUUAUAAUAUUAUACAAUUUUUUGUGUAAAUGUAGAGAAUAGGUUUCCUAAUUCUUGUUUUCUUUAUUUUUUUGUUGUUAUUCUGGUCCACAGUAGUUUUACCAUGAAUAUGGAUUCAAAAUACUAACUUUUGAAUAACCUCAAUAUUGUCCAACGACCUGACUGUUUAUGUAUAUUGCAUACAUUACUAUCUUUGCAAAGCAAUGUAGCAAGGAGGAAUUCUUGUAUCAUCUUUUUGCUAAAUCUAUCUUAACUUUAGUAGAGUAACUUACAAAAUAUUAUCUUUGUCACAUCUAAGCCUAAUGUUGGAAAUUGGGGCCUAGUCUUAUUGGUUUUGUUCUAUCUGUGUUGCUUUAUUACUUUAUGAGUAUUCUGUAUCUAAAAGUACAAGUAUACAUUGAGAUAUCUAAAAGUACAAGUAUACAUUGAGAUAUAACUCCUCUUUUUCUAAUUGAUGAAUCUGUAAUUGUGUCCUCAUGUGUUGAUACAGGAUUGAGUUUUUGAGCCUCUCUCAACUUUGUUAAUUAUGUAAAGAACUUGUUAACAUGUAACAUGUUAAUCAUGAAAUAAACAGUCCUUCUUCCCCUCACAUAAUAUAAGGAUUGAUAUUUUUGGUCCUACUGCGAAUAUUAGUAACUCAUUGAUUGUCUAAAUUAAGAAUUCUCCUCGCUUGAUUUGGAAGAUCUGAAAAAUUAUAAAUCUCAAACCUGCCAGUAGUGUCAAAAGACAUGUAGGCUAAAUAAUCUGCCCCGCAUAUUUCCUUCUCUGUAAGUUUCUUUAAGUUGAAUCCAACACAAUUGCGAUGCAUCCCAUGGAAUCUCCUAAACUUUAAUAAGGAUCAUAAUAACAUACUUGAUUCAUCCCAACAGUAGGCGAUGAGUGAUUUCCUCCCUUAUAGCUAUAACAUUCGCCUAUAAGUUUGUAUCACCUUGAGAAUGUAGUAAGUUCCUUGAACAAUAUCUUAAAGAGAAACCAUAAGUGCUUCGUUCGGGAAUUCUGCUUGAUGAACCAUCUUUGUUGCAUUGCAUAAGACCUAUCGUUAGAGGUUUCCAACUGACUACGAUAUAAUGAAUCCUUGAAGUAUGCUUUUCCAGAAAAUCUAUGAUAUUAGACCAAGUUGUAGGAAUAUGUAGUCCAGAAUAGAUGGUCCUCCCAUGUCUCCAUUAAUCUGAAUUUACUUUAAAAACUAGCUGUUGUUAGAAGAACUCUUUCCAUGCUUCAGCCUAUUUCUCCUUUUCCACAACUUUCAUAUCAUUAUGGCUGGGACAACUCUCAAUAGUGGGGCUUUUAUUUUGAACAACAAUAUGAUGUGCACCAUUUAUUGCAGACUUGUGAAAGUUGUAAACCCACUAUUUGAGUCCCUGUAAAAUUAGCAAACAACCUCCAUAUCUUAAUAGCUAUGGGGGAGGUUCGGAAGAUAUGACACAUAGUCUCAGUUGUAGGCUUAGCGCAACACUAACUUGUGAAUGUAUAUUGACUUGAUGUGUUUUAGGACAUCACUCACUGGAAUCAUAAAUCUCCAAGCUAUCCAUACGAAAAAAGACAUAUUAAAAAGGAAAACAAAAGACACAUUAAGUACUAUGCUGAAAUUGUGUUUUUGUUAUUUCAUUUAGCAUUGGAAAGACUAUGCUGAAAUUGUGUUUCUGUGAUUUCAUUUAGCUGGUUGAUUAUUUUGUGGUCUCUUUGUUUCAUUUCACAUUUUCUUUUCUAUGAAGUACAUCUCAUUUAGGCUUAUUUCUGUCUUGGUUGGUGUACACUUUGAUUUUUAAUUUUUUGGUAGUGCUUCUUGUUGUUGAAAGUGACUGCAAACCUACUCUUUUGAAGGCUCUAUGUUGAUUUGGUUUUUAAGAGAAUUUUCACAAAUUCACAAUGAGGCUUCUCAGCAAAGUUCAGACUUGGAGUGGAAUAAACAAUUCAUUAGUUGGUUACAAAAAAGAGUUGCAGAGUUGUACAAACAUGAUGAUAGUAAUAGAAUGGCAGAUUUGCUAUCGUUAUCACGUGGUCCUCUGCCAUAUGUGACAAGAUUCAAAUGACACAUUGUUAAUGGAUAUUGGUUUCAAGUGCAAUAGUAUGAAAAAUAUUUGAAAACUCAGAAUUAUGGGGUAGUUGUAGUAGGUGAGACUGGUGAAGAGCAAACACGUAUAAAUUACUAUGGCGAGUUAACCGAGGUUCUUGAAUUACAAUUUGUUGGGGAGAGGAGUGAAUUUAUUCCAAUGUACGUUGUUUGAUGUGCAUGAUCAAAAGAGGGAAGUUAAAAUGGAUGAAUAUGGCUUUGUAAGUGUUAAACAUCGGCGAUGUUUGAAGAUAAAUGAACCAUUUGUAUUAGCCUGCCAAACAUCACAAGUAUUUUAUGUUAUCGAUCAUUCGAAUAAAGGUUGGCAGAUAGUGCAAAAUGUUCAACCGUGUGAUUCAUUUGAUAUAUUGAAAAAAAAGAAUGAUGACUUAGAAGAGUUAGAUCACUCUACUCAAACGAAAAGAAAAAGAACUCAUUAAGGUUUACAUGAAUCCCUCUAUUAGGUUGACAUGAAUCCCUCAAAAACUCUGAAGUAUGAAAUGGGACAAGCUUCAAAAAUUCCCAAGCAUGGACUCAUUCAGCCUGGUGCUUUAGCAAAGGAUUAGAUCAAAGUUUGAAAUUUAUGAGCACUACAAGAGUUAAUGCUGAAAAAAGGACUUUGAUUGCCAAAAAUUGAAGUUACAAUGCCACAACUUCUAAGUCGAAUAAGCUAGCAGACAAUAGUUUCCAUGUACAUCCUCAUUUUGAUGAAAAGGAAGACAAUGCUCCCUUCAGUCAAGGAGUUCAAAUGAAUCUACAUACUUUGACUAGUGAUAAAAGGGCUCGAGGACAAAGCUUAUGGAUUAAUGUUGAAUAACCGAUUCUGAUUGGCAAAAAUAGAAGCACUACAACAACUUCUAGUCGAUACAAGGCAGGAAAGACUAGUAUCCCUGUGCCUCCUAAUUUUUAUCCAAUGGAAGACAAUGAUACCCUUUUUCAAGAAGCAGAAGUUACUCGAGAUGCUCAAAGAAGUGAUAAUUUUCAAAAGAGUGCUUUUGAAUUUGUUAAGUCAAAAAGAGUGAUAGGAGAGCCUCGAUCUGCUCAAAAAAGUGAUACUGGUCCGUUUGAAUCUAGAAGAGCAAAAAAAAGUUUUUGAAGUGGCUCAAGGUGCUAAGGAAACUUAAACGAGUCUUUUUGAAUUUGACAAGGCUAAAAAAGUGACUGAAGUGUCUCGGCAGUUAGAUUUGCAGGUUUAUUUGAAUCUAGAAAAGCAAAAGAAGUGGUUGAAAUGGUACAAGAUGUUGAGGGGAUUAAAACUAAUUUUUCAGGUCCAUGUGAAACAGAAAGGGCAAAGAACGUGAGGGGAACAAAUAUUUGUAAGAAUGUUUUUCGACUGAGACCUAGAGAAAAUUAAAAGUCACUUUCUAUCAAAAUCGAGUCGUCAGACAGAAUCACACCUCAUUUACGAGACAUUUGGGUUUGCUCGUUCGGGAUCAUAAUGUGUCCACUGCGGGUACACUCAUGGAUGCACAUCGAAGAGCAUAAACUCGAGCACAUGUGGGCAGUUGUUACUUGAUGACAUGAAUGAUUUAAGAGAUAAUGUUUUGCAACAUAUGAGAAAGCUUUGGAAUAACUCGAGAGGAUCACUGCACAAGAAUUUGAAAUCUAUAUCAUUGCGCGAUGUUCUUAAAGAAGUGCCGAAGGGAGUAGAUAAGAGUGACUGGGAAUGGUUGGUCAAGGAACAUUUUUUAUCUGAUAAAUUUAAGGAUGCAAGUACAAGAAACUCAAUCAAUAGGUCUAAGUUGUGUAUGCCUCAUCGUACGGGUAUCAAGCCUGUUAGAGAGAUUGUUUACGAAAUGGGAGGCAGAGAUGGUAAUCCACCAAACAUGGAAACUAUUUUCUUUGAGACAGGCUGAUAUUCAAUUCACCAGCUUGUACAAUCAGAACCAUCUCUUACUAAUAUUGAUGUAGUGGAAAGGUGUUUUGGACCACAAUGCAAAAGUCACGGAGUUUAAUUUGGUGGUGGAAUAACAACUAAGGAGUUAAAAGGAGGUACCACCUCAAAGGCUGCAUUGUGGGAAGAGCUUAAAACAACUCGAAAAGAAAAGGAAUCACUAAAAAAACUAAUGGAUAUUCUAGAGAGUAAAUAUGAACACCUUGAAAAUAUAGUGAUCCGUCAGUCUUCAUCAGUUCUAUUCAUUCCAUCAGAUUGAAGAUUUUGAAGAUUAAAGAAUGAGAUGUGAAAGAUAAUGUGGCGCGUGCGGAAAAGAAUAUUAUAUUUUAUUGUUGGUGCAGAGACAUUUUCUGUAGUUAUUCUAUAAUAUCAUUUUCUUAAUUUCUAACUAGGAUUUGAUAGAUGUCGAACACAUAUGUUUUAUUAUGUUCAACGUGUAUGCGUUUUUUUAGGUAUUGUGUUGAACAUAUAAGUAUUAAGUAGUUAAAUCAAUGUGUUCUUUAAUAUUAACAAUGUAAUAUUAUAUCAAAUUUUCAA